CAAAGGAUAGUUUAAAUAAAAUAUUAAUUUUGGAGAUUAAAGAUAAGGUUUUACUUUUCCUUUGA
rnacentral:tRNA from 1 species